rnacentral:rRNA from 1 species
CACUUGAGCAACCUGCCCCUGACUCUGGGAUAAGCGCUGGAAACGGCGUCUAAUAUUGGAUAUGUGAUGUGACCGCAUGGUCUGCGUCUGGAAAGAAUUUCGCUUGGGGAUGGGCUCGCGGCCUAUCAGCUUGCUGGUGAGGUAAUGGCUCACCAAGGCGUCGACGGGUAGCCGGCCUGAGAGGGUGACCGGCCACACUGGGACUGAGACACGGCCCAGACUCCUACGGGAGGCAGCAGUGGGGAAUAUUGCACAAUGGGCGCAAGCCUGAUGCAGCAACGCCGCGUGAGGGACGACGGCCUUCGGGUUGUAAACCUCUUUUAGCAGGGAAGAAGCGAAAGUGACGGUACCUGCAGAAAAAGCGCCGGCUAACUACGUGCCAGCAGCCGCGGUAAUACGUAGGGCGCAAGCGUUAUCCGGAAUUAUUGGGCGUAAAGAGCUCGUAGGCGGUUUGUCGCGUCUGCUGUGAAAUCCGGAGGCUCAACCUCCGGCCUGCAGUGGGUACGGGCAGA